CAGAUGCACUCAGAGAUGGAUCUAAAAAUCUAACGGUCCCAGGAUGAAGAUCCUGAUCUCCUAGACCAAUUUUCAAUAUUUGUGAUAUAUUUUCUAAAAGAGGAUCAAUUGUAUUUUGUCUUAGCAAGGAAAAUAUAAUAAGAUAAUUUACUUAAGGAGUACCAUGUGUAAAUCAUAAUAGAAUAGAGCAAGAAGCAUCUAGAUCAGAGAAAAAAUUGAACUAGUUCAUGCAUAGCUUGGACAUCAGCAUUUACUGUGCAGAAAAUUCCUGAAUGGAUACAGUAGUUCGGCAAUGGCCAAUGGGGUACAUCCAUGGUUCUGUCUUAUGGUGUCUUCGUUUAUUCAAAAGCAUAUCAUGGUAUGUGAUGUCUUAUCAUCUACUCCCUCCGUCCUACAAAAUCAUGAAUCCUGGAGGGGGAGGUUUGUAAAAAAAAAAAAAAACGAUCUGUGCACAGAAAAAAAGAUUGUGGGCCAUAGUAGAUGGGAAAGGAGCCUGCCACCUCUCUCUCUCCUAUCGUUUUGACCGCAGAAACCUUAUCUCCUCGGCUUUUCUCGUCUCGUUCUCUCCUCCCUAAAUCGCAUCGCUCUCUCUUCCCCCAAAUCACGCCCAGAUGCGACCUCCUGCCUCCACGCCUUCCUCCCCGCAAAUCCCUCCCUUCUCCAUGCCGCUCCCCCUCACUCCCUCCCUGCCUUCCUCCCCGCACAUCCCUCCUGCUCAACGUGGCGGCGGCUGGCGGGGGAGGCGACGAGCGGACGCCGGUGUUCUUGCGUACAUGCGGCCUCGGGGGUAGCGGUGACGAGCGGACAAGGCAUCGGCGGCGACAAGCGGACGCGGCCUCGUCGGCGGCGGCGAUCGGCGAACACGGCGGCGGCGGCGACGAGCGGACACGGCCUCGUCGGGGUUCUUGCUAGUUCAUUCGUCGGGGUUCUUGCUAGUUCUUGUAGUAUCUGGUUCUUGCUAGUUCUUGUAGUAUCUCUUUUUCUCUGUUCCUGGCUCUGUUCUUAAUUGACAGAUGCGAGGCUCCACCAGUCCACCUCCCCGCGCCUCCCUCCGUUGUGUUGGAGGCUUUGCUACGCGGCGGCGGCGGUGGAGCCUUGCAUGCGUGUGGUAUACUGGUAUGUGGCCGAUGCUUGCUUUGCAUGCUGAUGGACGUGGCUUGUUCGAAUGCAGCUGUUAUGGUGGAAGGGGAUUGACGAUGGGAAGGACAACCACAAGGAAAUUUAUGCUUGUCUUUUUUUUUACCGUUAAUUAAUGGUUGUACUUUGUAAUUUGGUGAGGGCAUACUAGUCUUUUACCACUGCUGCUAAAGUCACCUCGGGUUUAUAGGAAUCGUGAUUUUAUGGGACGGAGGGAGUAUAAGACUACAUCAUCCUAGCAAAUAGCAUACUGCUAGCUGAUAAGAUUUGUAUGUUAAGCCAAAAAAUGCUGCUACAAGCAUGACGUCACUACGGAACACAUCUCUCCCCACCAAAAAUUUGUGGAAAACCCUAAGCACAGCUGUUUGCAGUUCUCACUAUAAGCUUGAAUCAGCUCUAUCUAAAUAUAUCAAAGUUCACACCGAUGCAAACCGAUCAACAAAUGAAACGAUUUCCACAAUGAAUUAAACUACAGUGCACUUUUUUUUUUUUACAGGAAUGACCAAAGGAGGCCAUCCAAAUGACAUUAAGAUUGAGGGGAAAAAGUUACAAGACAGCAAAUUAUGCAUACUAAGUGCCCAGCUAAUAGAAUAAACAAUAACAAAAUAGAACGAUUAAACCUCUACAAAAACAAACAACGAGAUUUACCAACUCUAAUAGCACAAAUGAACUGAUUGGUUCCAGUAAGGGCUAAGAGUAGUUUCAGUCAAUCUAAAUGUAAACAAUCACAUAAUCACAAAGUCACAACAUACGUAGAAACAGGAUAAAAUCAGAUGCAGAGUUGCGCUUGGCAACUUAUCAUAUCUCUAAUUUUUUUUUGGGAGGGGGGGGGGGGGGGAAUCACAACUCUCGUCUAACAAUCCAGCCCUCUCUCUCAGCAACCACAGCAACUUAGGCCCCCUUUGAUUAAAGGAAAUUCAUAGGAAUUUUAGAGGAUUUUAUUUUUAUAGGAAUUUUUCCUAUAUAGCUCUUUGAAUCAAAGGAAUGGAUCUUAUGGAAUCCUAUGAAAUUCCUAUGAAUGCCUAAUGCCAUGCAAGUUUUGGAGGAAUAUCAUGAGGUAGAACCUCAUAGAAACUUUCCUUCGAGUCUUUAUCUCUCCUCUAAUUCAUGUAUUUUUCCUGUGGUCUAAUCAAACGGUCAUUCCUGUGUUUUGUAAUCCUCUGUUUUAUACUUAUAUUCCUAUCAAAAUCCUACGAUUUUCCUAUUCGUACGUUUUCUCAAUCCUGCGAUUAAAGGGGCCCUUAUUGAGGAUUGCUUUUGAAUUUCUGUUCAGAAGGGAGCAAACUUAGCGAAGGGAGGGCCGCCGGUAAGGGGCGGGUGACUGGGGAUGCGCCCGCCGCCGGCGAGAGAGGAGGGUUUCCUCGGCGGCCGCUUUGCUGGGGCUGGACGCCGGAGCUUGGAGGCGGCGGCUGUUGGUAAGGCAACGCAAGGCAAAGGCAAGCAGAGAGAGAGAGAGAGAGGAUGGGCCAGAUAUUAUUGGGCUUCCAAAAGAGGCCUGAGGUGGGCCCACGUGACAGUCUCACAGCCCACUCCCCUCAACUCCGCUCUUCCCAAAUGGGCCCAGGCCCAAGCCUGGGUAUAAAAGCAGAGCUCUCGCCAUCUUCUGGCGCAAGCCUCACUCUCCUCCUCCCCGCUUCGGAUUCCACCGUCGCGGAGCUCGGCGCGGGCGGAGAUGGAGGGCGACGCCGCCGGAGCCGGUGGCGGCGACCGGUCGAGCAUCGUGAUCGGCCUCAUCGAGAACCGAGCCAAGGAGGUGACGCCUCUCACUGACUAACCCCCCCCCCCCCCGCCCUCCCAUCCCUCCCCCUACACCCCCGCACGCAUUUUUGCUUGUCGGAUUGCUCGCCUAGCUAGCUUCCUCCUCUUCUCCUCCAAGGCCCCCGAGGGUUUCCGUUUCGCGUUCUACUCGGUCUUCGCUGCGCCGCGGAUCGGCUUCGAUCGUGUCGUCGGCCUGCGUGCGUGUUGUGUUCGCGCUCCCGCGGGGGUGGUGGUCGAUCGGAUGCUGCUCGGGUGGAUUACUUGCUCUAGCUGGUCAGAUUGGUGGUGGUGGUGGGGGGGGGGGUUCGUGUUAUAUGGCGUUCUGAGCGGCUUGAUUUGAGGGUUUGGUGGUUUUAGGAUUUGAGGCUCCAGCUCCAUUUCCGGGGCGAUUAGAGCAUACCCUGUCCUCGAUAGUGCUGCUCUAGCGGUUCGAAUCGAGUUGGUGUGAUGUGUACAGUAAAUUGUUGGAGAGGUGGGCACAAUUACUGCAGUGACCUGCUGUUGCAAUUUUUUCCUCCACUGAUUUGGCCGGCACUUUCUUACAAGUUGGGAAUCCGGAUAACCAACGGUCAAAGGAUAAAGCCAUUUCCAUAACAGCACCAUGCGCCAUGCGGGAAAGCAUUUUUAUCUACGAUAUAUUAGUUGUUCUCCAGGCUUGUUUUGAAGGAGUUGCAAGUUUCAUUGUAAACAGGAAAAUUCAUUGGAUCAUGGUGCAUUGGCGCAGAAGAGAGAAAUUUGAUCAAAGUGUUGUAGUAGAUCAACUCAUAAACUUAUUAUGGAUGAAUUUUUUUUAGAUAAUGUAUUAUGGAUGAACAGAUUGUGAAAAUGAUUUCUCCAUUGUACACACUUGUUUUGUGGUUUACUAAUGAACAAGAUCUUCUGAGACGCUGACCUCUCUGUACAUCUUUAUUUUUCUUGUUCUAAGUCAAGUGUAUCUUUAGUUUUGGAAGCAUCUCAACAUUUUUGCCAACGUAAGAAUUCUUUGUAGUGUCAGUUUUGGAAAAAAAAAAUCGUGAUAUGAACACGUGUAGAUUGUCUGUGCACGUCAGUUGAUAACUUGAUAUGCACACCAUCCAAUUCAACUCAAAUUGAAAACAUACAAACAAAAAUCAUGGAGUUAAUUAUUUCUCAAUUUCUUUAUUAUGAACCAAAAGAUCACGAAGAUUUAUCAAACUAGUAUUUUUGCAGGUUGGUGUUGCUGCUUUUGAUUUGAGAUCAGCCUCACUGCAUCUUUCUCAGUAUAUUGAGACCAGUUGCUCAUAUCACAAUACGAAGACACUUCUGCAUUUCUAUGAUCCUAUGGUUGCAAUAGUGCCCCCAAACAAAACAGCAGCAGACGGUAUGGUUGGAGUUUCAGAGCUGGUUGGUAAACAUUUGCCAACAAAUAAAAAGGUGAUGGCUGACAUAUGCAAAUUUGUUCUAUGUUUUCUCAUAAUAUGAACCCACUUUCGUUUAUUCUAAACAGAGUUCACCUUUUAGAUAACAAUGGCACGUGGCUGCUUUGAUGACACAAAGGUAUAAUGAUUUGUAUUCCUUUCUGACCAUUUAUUUGCUUAAUUGUUGGGUGAUUAACUGCUGCUUAACAUCAUGCAUGUUCUUGUUUUCUUUUAAGGGUGCUGUUAUGGUAAAAAAUCUUUCAGCUAGAGACCCAUCUGCACUCGGUUUAGAUACUUAUUGCAAGCAAUACUAUCUUUGUCUUGCUGCUGCCUCUGCAACAAUUAAGUGGUACGCGUGCUAUCUUUGUCUCGAUACAUUGCUGGGCUACAUUUUCCCUGUUUAGGAUUAAGUUAAUAACUUCUGUUAUGUAUCUCCCAUGAACAUAGUUGUGUAUUGCUUCAAUAUGGACAUAACGACUUGACAAAGCUGUGUCAUAAUUUCUAUUUUUUCAAAGUGUAAUUGGAGCAUAUGAACUUACUAUGUACUACAACAGUGCAACUCUCAAAGCAAGUACUUACUAAAUUAUUUUACAAUUUGUCUGUUACUUCUCAUGUCAUUUCAUAGGAGUUAUGCCUAAGCACCUCAUUUGAUGAUACUACUUACUAUUUAUACAAUGCCCCAGAAUAUUUGUUGUUACUUAGUACAUUGAAAUGGAAACUGAGAUAGGAUUUUCAAGUUGGAUACUUGGAUUCUAUAAAGCUUAUCUUGGAUCAUCAAAACAUAUUUCUCAUAUUGUUUUUUUUGGUCAUAGAUAACUAUUUUUUUCCUCGUAUUGGACGGAAAUGAGGAUAAAACCGAAAUAUAGCAGAUGAUUAGAUCUCAUGUUGAUAGUGUUGAUAAGUAUCACAAUGACAAUUUACUUUGUUUCUUCUUGCAGGAUUGAAUCAGAAAGAGGUGUAAUUAUCACUAAUCACUCAUUAUCAGUAAGUUUUUUAGAGUUUUGUUUCAUAUAAAUCAUCGUUGUUUAGCCUUUUUUUCACCUGUAAGGCCAUUCUUACGAUAUUAUGUAUCAAAAGUCUCCAUUUUGUGACUACUCUUCUAUGGGCUAUGCUGAUCUGAAAAAAAUCUAUACAUUAUGGGGUCCCAUACAUUAUCUCUAAAAACGUUUUCUCUAAAAAUGUUAGCUGAUGUUUCCGUAUUUUUCUCUUAUAUAUGUAUGUAUAACUUUUCAGGUUACAUUCAAUGGGUCAUUUGACCACAUGAACAUUGACUCAACUAGGUACUCUUUUGGUUAAAUUGAGCAGUAUUAUCUGUCACUUGAUAAAUCAUCUUCACCAAAGGAGCAGAAACAAUAUAAGUUAAAAUUUUCUGCUACACGAUCUGAAUUGCCUUCAUUGUUCCAUAUAUGCACCUAGCAGUGUACAAACAUUGGAAAUUAUUGACCCUCUUCAUACUGAACUGUGGGGAACUAGCAACAAAAAGAAAAGUCUCUUUCAGAUGUUGAAGACUACAAAGACUACAGGAGGGUAUGGCUUUCCCAUUCUCCAAACUAAUCUUUUUUACAUAUAUUUACACUGCAACAUUCAAUAUCUCCUCAUUUUUGCAAUUUGAACAAUCUUUUCUGAGAUAAAAAGUUU
rnacentral:lncRNA from 1 species